ensembl:lncRNA
CUGAAUUGGGUAAGUGGAAGAAAAUGGAUGGAAAAUGGACGGCUGGAUUAUUUUUUAAAUUAAGCUCUUUGUUUAAAAUGUUUGAUAAGAGACAUCAAAAGCCUUUGAGCUCAAACAUCUGGCUCUAUGGGCGCAACUAACAUUUUAUGACAUUUCCAGCCACAGUUUAAUUGAGGUGUUAUGUACAGAUUAUUUGUUUUAUUCCAUACACUGAUCACUUCACAUAAGCCCCAGAAUCAGAGCCAGCUCUUCCGUGCACUGCUGUCAUUACUACACCACUUAUCCAGGCCCUACAUGUCUGUCUCCACUCCUCGUCCUACUCAUGUACACACAUAUAUACAAAACUCAUACAUCAAAGCGCUGCACUCGAUUCCACGCAAAAGAUAAACACGGGAAGCCCUGCAGAUGGUUAGCUCUAGGAUAGAGGUUUCUCUGUAUGUUCAUGUUUGCAUGAGUGUUUGUGAGGAGAUCUCCUGAAAGAUGUUAGAAAAAUAGAAGUGUCUGUAUAUUUCUUUCCAUCUUAAACCUCUUGGGUGGACCAAAGACGAGGACUUUUUUUUUUUUUUUAGCACACAGCAGAUAUUAUUCACACAUGUAGGAUAACAUUUGAGCAGAGCUGGCCAGCUUUAUUAGUGGCAGUUUACAGGGAUAUCUAUGACAGUCCCAUAGCUCUCUGGAAGCUCCUUUACAUUAUUUCGGGGUAAUGGCAGGUUAAUGGAAGCCAGGUGGAGCCUCACUCCACCAGGAGCACUUGAUUGACAGUGAACUGUGUUGAUGAAUUGGAGUGCAGCUACCCACAAUCAGGGUCGUGAUGGAAACAUGGCAAUUCUCAAACAACAGUUGCUUUUCUUGGCCUCAACAGAGGCGCCAUUUCCACUCAUCUAAGACUACUCAGUACAUGUAGAUAUGGUCAUGCAUGUGCGUCUGGCUUUUCUCUUUGCUUGUUUGUGAUUAAAUGUGUCUAUUGACUAAAUACUAUUGCACCAAGUCCCUCGAAUUUGAAGCCUGGAUUUUGAGUGUAAGCACUUAAAAAAAUAAGUGGAAAUGAACAGCGACAUUGCUUCAUAG